GAGGACGAGGACUAAGAAGCAAAGUGACUGCACAACUGAAGGUUUAGAUGACCUUGAAAUGUACCACACUUUGGAGGAACUUGAGAGGGAGAAUGCUUUUAAUCAAGGAGUGGCGGGAACAAUGACCAAUACCAGCUCUACACAGUCACAAACUACUGCCUUGCUGCCCUCGCAGCCUACAUCUUGAG